GAUGGGUAGAGCUCAAUGGUAGAGCACAUGCUUAGCAUGCAUGAGGUCCUGGGUUCAAUCCCUAGUACCUUCA
rfam:Camelus ferus unplaced genomic scaffold scaffold389, whole genome shotgun sequence.